UGUACCUUAAAAAAAAACUUUAACUAAGUUUAUUUUGGAAACUGGAGGAAGCUGGCCAGACCUCCUCCCGUUAGUCCUCUUGUGGGCUAGGUGCACUCCUUAUAUAAAAAGUUAACUCCUUAUGAAAUCAUGUUUGGGAGACCAUCUCCCUUACUGCUGAGGGUAAAUUUGGAAAAUGUAUCAGAAUGUAAAAAUCAUACUUUGUUGAAUUCUUUAAAAGCCCUCCCCGUAAUUCAACAGGAGCUGCAGAAUCGAGUUCGGGAGGCCAGGCCAGCCCCUCAACCUGAGGUUAUUCAUCAUAAAUUUCAGCCUAGAGAUCUGGUACUGGUAAAGAGACAUUCAUCUAAGGCUCUGGCGCCAUUAAAGCGGCUCCUGAAGACACACCAGAGGACAAAUAAAAGAUCAUCAGUCAACCAGGUGACAAAAAACUAAUCUGGAACCUCCCACCAAGAAUUUUUAAGAGUCUUUAUUUGCAUCAUAGACUUUUAGCUGGUUUUUGCUGUGUAUGUGUC
rnacentral:lncRNA from 1 species